rnacentral:lncRNA from 10 species
GUCUGGGAAACAUAUAUGCUUCUUGUUUUGGUUUGGUUUUGGUUUUGUUGUUUGUUCCAGACAGGGUCUUGCUUUGUCACCCAGGCUGGAGUGCAGUGUAGAAUCACUGCAGUCUCAACCUCCUAGGUUCAAGCGAUCCUCCCACCUCAGCCUUCUGAGUAGCUGGGACCACUCCUGCAAGCCACCGCACCUGCUAAUUUUUAAUUUUUUUGUAGAGACAGGGUCUCACUAUGUUGCCCAGGCUGGUCUUGGUCUCCUGAACUCAAACCAUCCUCCUGCCUUGGCCUCCCAAAGUGUUGGGAUUACAGGCAUGAGCCACCGCACCUGGCCUAUGUUUCUUUGUUUUUGAAAAUGUUGGUUUAACACUUUGUGAUGAAGCAACUUGAAGGAUUUGUCCUAAGCUGAGUGUAUCUCAAUGCUGGGCUUGAAUGUCUGUCAUGCGAAAAAGAGACUCCACCAGGCUCUGUGCUCAGGAUCCAGUAUUCACAUAUGGAUUUUCUUUUAAAGCCGCUUGUCUGUUUUGUGAGGACUGGUUUUGGAAAGCUGCUAAUAUGAUCUGUGAAGCGACUCACAGGGCACACACAACCUGAGGGGCAUGGCCAAAUUCCAUGCGAAGAAAGCGAAGGGCCCUGUCCCCGCGUGGCACUUGACCGUCUGCCAUCUGACCGAGAAUGGAUCAUGUGAGCAGCCAGUGACAAACCACAUAUUAAAUCUUGGAACAUGCCCAUUGUCCUUCCCUUCUUCCUCCUGCCUGACUCAUGGACACGAUGCUUGAUGGUCAAGGAGCUGUCUUGCCACCAUGAAGAUGAAAGCAACAAUCUAACGACGGUACCGGGAGCUAGGAGGAACCUGGGUCCCUAGAGCAGCUGCAGCAGCCUGGCCUGCCCACCUUUGAAUCCUGACCAUGUGGGAAAACAAAUCCCUGUUUGGUAAAGACAUGGUAAUUGGGUCUCUGUUUACAUGCAUGCAGACGCAAUGCUGACUGAUACAUUCAGUAUUUCCAUUUUUGUGCCUUUUGUACAGCUCCAAUAAAACCAAGUAACAAGAUCAUUGCUACACAAAAUCUUCUCCUGACUAACCUCCUGAACACGGUUCUUUCUUCUAUGACAUAUGUUUCUGUAAUAAUAGGUCACAUGUAAAUUGGUAACUAGGGCACUAAGGACAGCAUAAAAUGGAAGUCACUUUGGUUUCUAUGCUAUUUUUCAUUGCACAUUAAUAUUUUGAAGCAAUUUAUGAAGAUCUUAAAGGAAAAAAAUGAAUCCUGAAGAAAUACUUUCCUUUUGUGCAAGUAGUGGCAAAAUAGUGACUUUAAGGACCACGAGUUUUCCCCCAAAGUGAAAUUAUCUGGUAAAAGUGCAGCUGGAGAAUUUACGUGUACAUAUCAUUCAUUUAAUUCCAGAAGCCUUUUUUUCCCCAGUGAAGAUGAUCUCUAAUUCCCUCACGUGUCUACAUCUCAGAGGAGGCAGUGUGAGCCCAACGGUUUGAUGCUGCAAAGGCUGACUGACAAUGAAGCUUCCCAUGACUUUCUCCCUCCCCGCUGGAAGGGCUGCAACUUCCAGUGGGCACCCAAGACUUCCAGAUAAGAGGCAACUGGCCUUCUCAGAUAACUCCUGACUCUUGGCAUCUACAUCCAGACAGCCUGAUGCCACAUUGUCUAUGUGGACCCCACGGAUAAGAAUGUUCAAGUUUUGGUCUUGAAAAAGAGAGAACAAAAAGGGAGGAAUGUGCCUUCAUUGGAAUGCUCACUAUGACCUGUCCAACAGAACACUCUGUUAGUGGUGGUAGUUCCCUGCAGGUCUGCAUCUACAGUGCUGUGACUUUGCCUGAGCUCCGUUGUACAACAUCUGCUUGUCUUUGCAGAAGAAAUUCUUGCCUUCUCAGGUGAAAAGAAUUCUAAUGAGGGUCAUAAGGCCGAAGGAGAGAUUGUUGUAAGUUUUAGAGCAGGAGUGAAAGUUUAUUAAGCUUUAGAGCAGGAACUAAAGGAAGGAAAGUACACUUGGAAGAGGGCCAAGCAGGCGACUUGAGAGACCAAGUGCACUGUUUAAACUCUUUUCUUUUUGAGACGGAGUCUCCCUCUGUCACCCAGGCUGGAGUACAGUGGCGUGAUCUCCGCUCACUGCAAGCUCUGCCUCCGUGGUUCAUGCUAUUCUCCUGCCUCAGCCUCCUGAGUAGCUGGGACUACAGGUGCCUGCCACCACGCCUGGCUAAUUUUUUUUUUUUUUGUAUUUUUUUAGUAGAGAUGGGGUUUCACUGUGUUAGCCAGGGUGGUCUCGAUCUCCUGACCUCGUGAUCCGCCCGCCUCGGCCUCCCAAAGUGCUCGGAUUACAGGCGUGAGCCACUGUGCCCGGCCUGUUUAAACUCUUGACUUGGGGUUUUAUGUGUUGGCAUGCUUCCAGGGUCUUAUGUUAUUUCUUCCCACUCCUGAGAUCUUAGCGAGAAGCUGCUGAUCACCAGUUUCUUUCUUUUCCUUUCCUUUCCUUUUCCUUAUCUUUCUUUUUUUUUUUUUUUUGGCAGGGUCUCACUCUGUCACCCAGCCUGGAGUGCAGUGGUGCCAUCUCGGCUCACUGUAACCUUGGCCUCCCAGGCUCAAGCAAUCCUCCCACCUCAGCCUCCCAAGUAGCUGGGAUUAUAGGUGUGUAUCACCAUUUCCGGCUAAUUUUUGUAUUUUUUGUAGAGACGGGAUUUCGGCAUGUUGCCCAGGCUGGUCUUGAACUCGUGGGCUCAAGUGAUCCAUCCACCUCAGCCUCCCAAAGUGCUGGGAUUAUAGGCGUGAGCCACCAGGCCCAGCCUUCAGGCAUUUUCUUUUCUUUUCUUUCUUUCUUUCUUUCUUUUUUUUUUUUUUUUUUUUUGAGACGGAAUCUCGCUCUGCUGCCCAGGCUGGAGUGUAGUGGCACCAUCUCAACUCACUGCAACCUCCACCUCCUGGGUUCAAGUGAUUCUUCUGCCUCAACCUCCCAAGUAACUGGGAUUAUAGUCAUCAGGCCCGGCCAAGCAUUUUCUAGUUAUUAGGAGACUGCCUUUCCCUGGCGGGGGCUGUGACCAAUUAUUACUUUAGAAAGACAGUUAACAAUUGCCUGACCAUCACCUGAUGGUCCGUGGACACUCCUGGUGUGUGUGUGAGGGCAGCCCUUUCCUGCCCUGCCCAUACCUCACUAGCUACCUACUGUAACAGCCCUGGUACCAGCAUAUCACCCAUGCCUUCUCUUGCAGACCCCCAGCUUAUAAGUUUCCCAGUAAAGCCUGUUCCUUUACCUACGAUGCUGUGAACUUGCCUGAGCUCCAUUGUACAACAUCUACUUUGAGCUGCUUUCCAGAUGAUGACUAUUCUUUUGCCUUCCAUGCUCUCACCAUUGUAAGCUCUCUGGGGACCAACAUACAGAAUGAAGCAGCAAUCUUUCUAAUUGGAAGAAGGCAAAUAAAACCAUGAUCUAUUUUCCAGUGGGAUGUCUUUAAAGCACUUAAAAAGCAUCAUUUGCAUUUGGUAUGAGACUUGAGAAAUAUGUAAUUUUCAUUUCUCCGUUCUUAUUUAUGGCACUAUCAGUUUAGUUGAUUUGUAAAAUUUAUCCUGGCAUUUUCUGCCCUACAUCUCUAUGGAAAUAUCCAGGUUUGCUGAACAUGCCUCUUUUCUAUGCAUUUGAUGGAGGCACUGAAGAAAAGAAGUUGCCCAUUGUGACAUCCACUUAUGUAGUCUUUUGUGCUUCAAAAUAAAUGCAUAAAGACCUUAUCAAUCACACAACAACACAGUGUCAUGAUUUCACAACUUCUUGUAAAAUGUUUGCAUAAACAAACUCUUUUAUAUUUGGCCUACUAAACUAAUUAAGAGAAAACAGCUGUCUAAAGUUACAUUAUGGAAAUCUCUGUUGUGCCAACAUGCAAAAAUCGUUAUUCUCUUGAAUAUGAUUAAGGCAUUGUGUUUGGAAGUAGCCUUGAGGGUUCAAUUUCUUUUUUUUUAAGAUGGGUUUUUGAGACUCUGUCGCCCAGGCUGGAGUGCAGUGACGUGAUCUUGGCUCACUGCAACCUCCGAAAGGGCUCAAGCCAUCCUCCCACUCAGUCUCUCAAGCAGCUGGGAAUACAGGCUCACGCCACCAUGCUCAGCUAGUUUUUGUAUUUUUUUUGUAGAGACAGGUUUUCACCAUGUCGCCCAGGCUGCUCUCCAACUCCUGAGCUCACACGGUCUUCCUGACUCAGCCUACCGAAGUGCUGGGAUUACAGGUGUGAGUCACUGUGCCCAGCAUAAAAUUUCUCAUUACACCUCAGUUUCAGGUACAG